UACGUAGGUGGCAAGCGUUGUCCGGAUUUACUGGGCGUAAAGAGCGCGCAGGCGGUCGAAUAAGUCGAAUGUGAAAGCCCCCGGCUCAACUGGGGAGGGUCAUUCGAUACUGCUCGACUUGAAGGCAGGAGAGGGUAGUGGAAUUCCCGGUGUAGUGGUGAAAUGCGUAGAUAUCGGGAGGAACACCAGUGGCGAAGGCGGCACUCUGGGCCGAUACUGACACUGAGGAGCGAAAGCGUGGGGAGCGAACAGG
rnacentral:rRNA from 1 species